rnacentral:rRNA from 1 species
GACGAACGCUGGCGGCGUGCUUAACACAUGCAAGUCGAACGGAAAGGCCCUGCUUGCAGGGUACUCGAGUGGCGAACGGGUGAGUAACACGUGGGUGAUCUGCCCUGCACUUCGGGAUAAGCCUGGGAAACUGGGUCUAAUACCGGAUAGGAGACAUUUUUAGUGUGAUGGUUGGAAAGUUUUUUCGGUGUAGGAUGAGCUCGCGGCCUAUCAGCUUGUUGGUGGGGUAAUGGCCUACCAAGGCGGCGACGGGUAGCCGGCCUGAGAGGGUGGACGGCCACAUUGGGACUGAGAGACGGCCCAGACUCCUACGGGAGGCAGCAGUGGGGAAUAUUGCACAAUGGGCGCAAGCCUGAUGCAGCGACGCCGCGUGGGGGAUGACGGCCUUCGGGUUGUAAACUCCUUUCGCUAGGGACGAAGCUUUUUGUGACGGUACCUAGAUAAGAUGCACCGGCUAACUACGUG